rnacentral:misc_RNA from 1 species
GAAAUGCGAUAAGUAAUGUGAAUUGCAGAAUUCAGUGAAUCAUCGAAUCUUUGAACGCACCUUGCGCUCCUUGGUAUUCCUUGGAGCAUGCCUGUUUGAGUAUCAUGAAAUCUUCAAAGUAAAUCUUUUGUUAACUCAAUUGGUUUCUACUUUGGUAUUGGAGGUCUUUGCAGCUUCACACCUGCUCCUCUUUGUUCAUUAGCUGGAUCUCAGUGUUAUGCUUGGUUCCACUCGGCGUGAUAAGUUAUCUAUCGCUGAGGACACUGUAAAAGGUGGCCAAGGUAAAUGCAAAUGAACCGCUUCUAAUAGUCCAUUGACUUGGACAAUACUUUUAUGAUCUGAUCUCAAAUCAGGUAGUACUACCCGCUGAACUUCAGC